UACGAAGGGGGCUAGCGUUGUUCGGAAUUACUGGGCGUAAAGGGCGCGUAGGCGGCGCUGUAAGUGAGGUGUGAAAGACCCGGGCUUAACCUGGGAAGUGCAUUUCAGACUGCAGUGCUCGAGUGCGAGAGAGGAAAGUGGAAUGACGCGUGUAGAGGUGAAAUUCGUAGAUAUGCGUUGGAACACCAGUGGCGAAGGCGACUUUCUGGCUCGUAACUGACGCUAAGGCGCGAAAGCGUGGGGAGCAAACAGG
rnacentral:rRNA from 1 species